UACGUAGGGUGCAAGCGUUGUCCGGAAUUAUUGGGCGUAAAGAGCUCGUAGGCGGUUUGUCGUGUCGGCUGUGAAAACCUGAGGCUCAACCUCGGGCCUGCAGUCGAUACGGGCAAACUAGAGUUCGGUAGGGGAGACUGGAAUUCCUGGUGUAGCGGUGGAAUGCGCAGAUAUCAGGAGGAACACCGGUGGCGAAGGCGGGUCUCUGGGCCGAAACUGACGCUGAGACGCGAAAGCGUGGGGAGCGAACAGG
rnacentral:rRNA from 1 species